rnacentral:rRNA from 1 species
AACGAACGCUGGCGGCAUGCCCAACACAUGCAAGUCGAACGAAGCCUUCGGGCUUAGUGGCGCACGGGUGCGUAACACGUGGGAAUCUGCCUUUAGGUACGGAAUAACUCAGGGAUACUUGAGCUAAUACCGUAUGAUGUCUUCGGACCAAAGAUUUAUCGCCUAAGGAUGAGCCCGAGUCGGAUUAGCUAGAUGGUGAGGUAAAGGCCUACCAAGGCGACGAUCCGUAGCUGGUCUGAGAGGAUGAACAGCCACACUGGGACUGAGACACGGACCAGACUCCUACGGGAGGCAGCAGUGGGGAAUAUUGGACAAUGGGCGAAAGCCUGAUCCAGCAAUGCCGCGUGAGUGAAGAAGGCCUUCGGGCUGUAAAGCUCUUUUACCCGGGAAGAUAAUGACUGUACCGGGAGAAUAAGCCCCGGCUAACUCCGUGCCAGCAGCCGCAGUAA